rnacentral:rRNA from 1 species
UUGUAAUUUGCAGAGGGCGCUUUGGCUUUGGCAGCGGUCCAAGUUCCUUGGAACAGGACGUCACAGAGGGUGAGAAUCCCGUACGUGGUCGCUGGCUAUUGCCGUGUAAAGCCCCUUCGACGAGUCGAGUUGUUUGGGAAUGCAGCUCUAAAUGGGAGGUACAUUUCUUCUAAAGCUAAAUAUUGGCCAGAGACCGAUAGCGCACAAGUAGAGUGAUCGAAAGAUGAAAAGCACUUUGGAAAGAGAGUCAAACAGCACGUGAAAUUGUUGAAAGGGAAGCGCUUGCAGCCAGACUUGCUUACAGUUGCUCAUCCGGGUUUCUACCCGGUGCACUCUUCUGUAGGCAGGCCAGCAUCAGUUUGGGCGGUAGGAUAAAGGUCUCUGUCACGUACCUCCUUUCGGGGAGGCCUUAUAGGGGAGACGACAUACUACCAGCCUGGACUGAGGUCCGCGCAUCUGCUAGGAUGCUGGCGUAAUGGCUGUAAGCGGCCCGUCUUGAAACACGGACCAAA